CGAGAAAUCUAAACCGUGUAGAACUAAUAUUAAAACUCUGUAUUUAAAUAUUUAGAUAUUUAUCGAAGGCGGACUGGAAAGUAUCCAUUAUUAUAGAAAAUAAUCAGCUCAAAAUGACAAUCAUUGGUUGUAGCUGAGAAAAAUUUCGCUAGGAAUAGGAGUCCAACAUUUUUUUCGAUCAAUUGAACGGCCUUUUUAAGUGUUCU